CGACCAGGGCUACACACGUGCUACAAUGGCAUAUACAAAGAGAAGCGACCUCGCGAGAGCAAGCGGACCUCAUAAAGUAUGUCGUAGUCCGGAUUGGAGUCUGCAACUCGACUCCAUGAAGUCGGAAUCGCUAGUAAUCGUAGAUCAGAAUGCUACGGUGAAUACGUUCCCGGGCCUUGUACACACCGCCCGUCACACCAUGGGAGUGGGUUGCAAAAGAAGUAGGUAGCUUAACCUUCGGGAGGGCGCUUACCACUUUGUGAUUCAUGACUGGGGUGAAGUCGUAACAAGGUAACCGUAGGGGAACCUGCGGUUGGAUCACCUCCUUACCUUAAAGAA
rnacentral:rRNA from 1 species